CGGGACACAAUUCUGCCAUGUGUCAGAAUCACCAGGGAGCUCUCCAAGCCCUCAAUUGCCUAAAGACUCGGAUCCACUAGUAUUUUUGGGGAUGAAUUUUUUAAAAAGUCCACCCAAAGGAUUCCCACAUACAGCCAAGGAUGAGACCGACUGAGCUAAUUCCUUUCUGACCCAUUCUUCAACUUCUCCACUAGAUCAAACCAUUCUGCCUUCUCUAGAGUGAAUUUCUCAGUGUGCUGCAGAGACCUUUGCAGACAAUCAUCUGGGAAGCCUGCCCAACAGGCACAUCCUUGCACCCCACGCAGACCCACUGAGUCAAGACCUCUGGGUAUUGAAACCAAGGAUCUGAACUUUAAAACUCCUCCGUAAUCCUUUCGUGCUAUCAUUGAAAACUUGGAAACUUACUAUAUAGUCUUCUGUCUUUUACUGGCUGCUUUAAAAAAAUUUUUUUUUUUUGCUCUUUUUGUUCACACCCAUUUCUACAUAGCACAUUGAUUUUGUCAGUCCUUUACGGGAUUAGCAUUUCCAAGGCCCAAUUUUACAUCUGGUAACCACUUUUUUUUAAAACCACUUUUCUUCUAGAAGCAUUAUAACAAUGUGAAACUGUGUAAAUUGGGUAGAAAGAUAUGUUUUCAAGAUUAAUAUGUCUGUUUUAUAAUUGAGGCCAUUAUUGGUAUGUAUUUCUCCAUUAUAAAAGUACUAUGUUCUUAUUAUAAACAUUUGAAAAACGCAGAAAAGGAGAAAUUGGAAUGAGAAAAUUGCUCACAUUCUCACCGCUCAAAGACAACAACUGCCUACAAUUUAAUGCAUUUCUUUUUAGUCUUUCUUUUUCUGAGGUAUAGAACUUCUUUUUAAAAAAAUCAUGAUCAUAUUGCAGAAGUUGGACAUUAUGGGCUUAUGUUUAUAGAUUGACUUUAGUUACUGAAGAACUGGUAGAGUUCCUGGAAAUAAAACCCAUGAAAGUGUAUCCACUCAAGACUGCAGUCCCCAUGAGUUUCUUACUCACUGCAUCCACACUCAGCCUUUCGGUACCUCUUCAGAAUCACCACUGAAGUGCUCCUACCACUUUACGGCUGCAGCAACUUCUGCUCCAGGUAAGCUGAUGUCAGAGCACACUCUCAAUUUACCUGUCUCUCCAGAUUGUACAGUAGCAGUUUGCCCUGCAACCUCAAUUCUCUGACAGGUGUAAGAAAAGCCAUUGGUUUUCAGUUUGUCCAGCUUUUUUCAUGUUGUAA
rnacentral:lncRNA from 1 species